rnacentral:rRNA from 1 species
AGCGUUGCUCGGAAUCACUGGGCGUAAAGGGCGCGUAGGCGGCCAUUCAAGUCGGAGGUGAAAGCCCAGGGCUCAACCCUGGAAUUGCCUUCGAUACUGUUUGGCUAGAGACCGGAAGAGGUAAGUGGAACUGCGAGUGUAGAGGUGAAAUUCGUAGAUAUUCGCAAGAACACCAGUGGCGAAGGCGGCUUACUGGUCCGGUUCUGACGCUGAGGCGCGAAAGCGUGGGGAGCAAACAGG